rnacentral:rRNA from 1 species
ACGGCGAGUGAAGCGGCAAAAGCUCAAAUUUGAAAUCUGGUACCUUCGGUGCCCGAGUUGUAAUUUGGAGAGGGCAACUUUGGGGCCGUUCCUUGUCUAUGUUCCUUGGAACAGGACGUCAUAGAGGGUGAGAAUCCCGUGUGGCGAGGAGUGCGGUUCUUUGUAAAGUGCCUUCGAAGAGUCGAGUUGUUUGGGAAUGCAGCUCUAAGUGGGUGGUAAAUUCCAUCUAAAGCUAAAUAUUGGCGAGAGACCGAUAGCGAACAAGUACAGUGAUGGAAAGAUGAAAAGAACUUUGAAAAGAGAGUGAAAAAGUACGUGAAAUUGUUGAAAGGGAAGGGCAUUUGAUCAGACAUGGUGUUUUGUGCCCUCUGCUCCUUGUGGGUAGGGGAAUCUCGCAUUUCACUGGGCCAGCAUCAGUUUUGGUGGCAGGAUAAAUCCAUAGGAAUGUAGCUUGCCUCGGUAAGUAUUAUAGCCUGUGGGAAUACUGCCAGCUGGGACUGAGGACUGCGACGUAAGUCAAGGAUGCUGGCAUAAUGGUUAUAUGCCGCCCGUCUUGAAACCACGGAC